rnacentral:rRNA from 1 species
AUGGACGGCGAUGGCCGCAGCGACUGCGACGCCUCCGGCGAGUGGAUCUGGGUGCGUCGACCGCAGGAAGCGGAAGCUGCGGCUGUGGCUGCGGCGGCGGAGUGGCCGGCGGAGGAGGCGCGGCCUCUGAAGGUGGUGUUCGGGUCCCCAGCGAGGCACUUCACGGAUUCGGCGCCGAUCUGGAACGGCCGUCUCGGCGCCAUGGUCUGGGGCGGCGUCACCUCCGAGAAGCUCCAGCUCAACCAUGAUACAUUAUGGACGGGCGGGCCUGUUAAUUAUACAAACCCCAAAGCACCUACUGUUCUUUCUGAAGUAAGGAGCCUUGUUGAUAAGGGACUGUAUCCUGAAGCUACAGCUGUUGCUUAUGGCCUGUCUGAUGACAAGGCGCAGUAUUACCAGCCUCUCGGUGAUAUUGAUCUUGCCUUUGGUGAGCAUACCAAGUAUACAAAUUAUAAAAGAUACCUUGAUUUGGAAUCUGCAACAGUUAAUGUCACAUACAGUGUUGGGGAAGUAGUGUACUCAAGGGAACACUUCUCCUCAAAUCCACAUCAAGUAAUUGCGUCUAAAAUCUCUGCAAACAAACCAGGAGCUGUCUCCUGUACAGUAUCUUUAGCAACACCACUAGAUCACCGGAUUCGUGUAACAGAUGCAAAUGAAAUAAUCAUGGAGGGCAGCUGCCCAGGAGAAAGGCCCGCGGGAGAUGACAAUGCAUCUGAUCAUCCUCCGGGAAUGAAAUUUUGUGCUAUUCUCUACCUGCUGAUGAGUGGUGCCAAUGGCCAAGUGCAAGUAUUAAAUGAUAAGAUGCUGAAACUUGAUGGUGCCGACUCAGCAGUUUUGCUCCUUGCAGCUGCAACCUCAUUUGAAGGGCCAUUUGUCAAGCCUUCUGAAUCGACACUUGAUCCAGUGACAUCAGCAUUCACAACAUUAACUAUGGCUAGGAGCAUGUCAUAUGCACAGCUAAAAGCUUAUCACAUGGAUGAUUACCAAAGUCUUUUCCAGCGCGUGUCCUUGCAACUUUCACGAGGCUCUAAUGAUGUACUUGGAGGUAGCACUUUGGCUCACUUACCUGAGAAUAUCUCUCAGGAUACUGCGGUAUCUGAUUGCACUGUACAGAUGGUUGAUGGUUCAAGGUUAAAAGAGCUUAAUAAUUCAGAGAAGCCUACUGUAGACAGAAUUAUAAGUUUUAGACAUGAUGAAGAUCCUUCUCUGGUAGAACUUCUGUUUCAGUUUGGGCGCUAUCUACUCAUUUCUUGUUCGAGGCCUGGAACUCAGGUUUCCAAUUUGCAAGGAAUAUGGAACAACGAGACUAAUGCACCAUGGGGUACAGUUCCCCAUCCAAAUAUAAAUCUACAAAUGAAUUACUGGCCAUCACUUCCUUGCAACCUUAGUGAAUGCCAAGACCCACUAUUCGACUUCAUUGGAUCCCUUUCGGUCAAUGGGGCUAAGACGGCAAAAGUGAAUUACGGAGCUAAUGGCUGGGUUAGUCACCAAGUCACAGACUUGUGGGCAAAAACAUCACCGGAUUAUGGUGAUCCUUCAUUUGCUCUAUGGCCAAUGGGUGGGCCAUGGCUUGCUACACACCUGUGGGAACACUACAGUUUUACGAUGGACAGAGAAUUUUUGGAGAGAACAGCGUAUCCACUUUUGGAAGGAUCUGCCUCCUUUCUGUUGUCCUGGUUGAUUGAAGGCCAAGAAGGCUAUCUGGAGACCAAUCCUUCUACUUCCCCAGAGCAUUAUUUUACUGCUCCGGAUGGCAAGGACGCAUCUGUGAGCUAUUCAACAACUAUGGACAUGUCAAUUAUUAGAGAAGUAUUCUCAGCUGUUCUUUUGUCUGCUGAUAUUUUAGGAAAAUCCAGCACUGAUGUGGUUCAGAGGAUAAAAGCGGCACUACCAAGGCUCCCGCCAAUAAAAAAUGGUAGAGAUGGUACAAUCAUGGAAUGGGCACAAGAUUUUAAGGAUCCCGAACCUCAUCACAGGCAUGUAUCUCAUCUGUUUGGUCUUUAUCCUGGACAUACCAUGACACUUGAGCAAACACCUGACCUCUGCAGAGCUGUUGCCAAUACUCUUUAUAAAAGAGGUGAUGAAGGCCCUGGGUGGUCUACUUCAUGGAAGAUGGCCCUGUGGGCUCAUCUUCACAACAGUGAGCAUGCAUACAAAAUGAUUCUGCAGCUAAUCACUUUGAGAGAUCCUAAUGACAAGCCUGACAAUAGAGGAGGUCUAUACAGAAAUUUGUUCACGGCGCUUCCACCAUUCCAAAUCGAUGCAAAUUUUGGAUUCCCAGCUGCAUUGUGUGAAAUGCUUGUGCAGAGCACCGGGGGUGAUCUGUACCUGCUCCCUGCUCUGCCCCGCGACAAGUGGCCCCACGGGAGCGUUAAAGGUCUGAGGGCCCGAGGCGGGACGACGGUUAACAUCUGCUGGAAAGAAGGUACCCUCCAUGAAGCUCUUGUAUGGUCUGGCAGCAGCGGGAACUCGCUUGCGAGGAUCCACUACGGCGAUCGCUCUGCCGUGAUCAGUGCCUCCCCAGGCCAAGUUUACAGGUUCAACUCGGAGUUGAAGUGCUUGAAGACUUGGCUACUGUGA